GUGCUCACUUCAGCAGCACAUAGACUAAAAUUAGAACAGAGAAGAUUAGCAUGGCCCCUGUGCAAGGAUGACACAGAAAUUCGUGAAACAUUCCAUAUUCUA